CUUGGCUCUUAUCGAAGCCACAAGUUUCUUUGUGUUUUCUGUGGUCAAAAAUGAGCCUACAGUAGUUCUUUCAGACGGUCGCUAUAUACCUACAUGUGGUAUCUAGCAUCACCAAAUGAAUGGGACAUGU